UACGUAGGGUGCGAGCGUUAAUCGGAAUUACUGGGCGUAAAGCGUGCGCAGGCGGUUAUGCAAGACAGAUGUGAAAUCCCCGGGCUCAACCUGGGAACUGCAUUUGUGACUGCAUAGCUGGAGUGCGGCAGAGGGGGAUGGAAUUCCGCGUGUAGCAGUGAAAUGCGUAGAUAUCAGGAGGAACGUCGAUGGCGAAGGCAGCCCCUUGGACCUGUACUGACGCUCAUGCACGAAAGCGUGGGGAGCAAACAGG
rnacentral:rRNA from 1 species